UUAAGUUCAGCGGGUAUUCCUACCUGAUUCGAGGUCAACUCUAUGAAAAAAGUUGGGGGGUUUUACGGCAGUGGCCAUCCGCCGGGCUCCUGUUGCGAGGUGUGUGCUACUACGCAGAGGAGGGCCGCGACGAGGCCGCCAAUUCAUUUAGGGGGCGGCGACUUGGCCCCAAACACCCCCACUGCAGAACAGUGGGAGCA
rnacentral:misc_RNA from 1 species